rfam:Rhodopirellula sallentina SM41 cSM410194, whole genome shotgun sequence.
GCAACGGCUAGGCUGAUCCCCGAAAACCGGUCUUCAUCAACCGGCCCGCCGUUGCUCUUUUUACCUUUGAUG